UCCGUAGGCGGUCUUAUAAGUCAGUGGUGAAAGCCCAUCGCUCAACGAUGGAACUGCCAUUGAUACUGUAAGACUUGAAUGCUUAGGAAGUAACUAGAAUAUGUAGUGUAGCGGUGAAAUGCUUAGAUAUUACAUGGAAUACCAAUUGCGAAGGCAGGUUACUACUAAUGGAUUGACGCUGAUGGACGAAAGCGUGGGUAGCGAACAGGAUUAGAUACCCGAGUA
rnacentral:rRNA from 1 species